GACGAACGCUGGCGGCGUGCUUAACACAUGCAAGUCGAACGAAGAGCGAUGGAAGCUUGCUUCUUUCAAUCUUAGUGGCGAACGGGUGUGUAACGUGUAAUCAACCUGCCCUUCAGAGGGGUACCACAGUUGGAAACGACUUCUUAUGCCGCAUACUUUCUGACCUCGUCAUCGAGGAUAGAUGAAAGGUCUCCUCUAUUUAUAUGCUUUCACUCAAGGUGCGUUUUUCGGUUGAUUAGCUAGCUGGUGGGGAAACGGCCCAAGAAGGGGAUGCUCAGUAGGCGGACUGGGAAGAUGGACGGCCAAAAUGGGAAUGGGAAACGGCCCAGAAUCCUAAGGGAGGCAGCAGUGGGGAAACUUCCGCAAUGGACGAAAGUCUGACGGGGGAACGGCGGGGGAGUGAUGACGGCAUUCGGGUUGUAAAGCUCUGUUAAUCGGGAAGAAAGGAAUGCUUGAGAAUAGUUAGAAGGAUUGACGGUACCGGAAUAGAAAGCCACGGCUAACUACGUG
rnacentral:rRNA from 1 species